GACGAACGCUGGCGGCGUGCUUAACACAUGCAAGUCGAACGAUGAACCCGGAGCUUGCUCUGGGGGAUUAGUGGCGAACGGGUGAGUAACACGUGAGUAACCUGCCCUGGACUCUGGGAUAAGCGUUGGAAACGACGUCUAAUACCGGAUAGGACCUUGUGUCGCAUGAUCUGGGGUGGAAAGUUUUUUCGGUCUGGGAUGGACUCGCGGCCUAUCAGCUUGUUGGUGAGGUAAUGGCUCACCAAGGCGGCGACGGGUAGCCGGCCUGAGAGGGUGACCGGCCACACUGGGACGGAGACACGGCCCAGACUCCUACGGGAGGCAGCAGGGGGGAAGAUGGCACAAUGGGCGAAAGCCGGAUGCAGCAACGCCGCGUGCGGGAUGACGGCCGUCGGGUUGUAAACCGCUUUUAGUAGGGAAGAAGGGCUUCGGCUUGACGGUACCUGCAGAAAAAGGACCGGCUAACUACGUG
rnacentral:rRNA from 1 species